CGUGACAAGACUACGCUAAAGGGAAGGCCUGGCGGGGCUGACACGGGAGCGGAUGUACGACGGCUGCGGCCUCUUCUCGGACCACUUUACAGAAAGGGACAACGCCGACCCGGCCAAAACCAGAUCGUUGUGGUCGGCCGGGAGGACUAUUGGAAGGGAAAUCCCGAUCGGUGUAGAAAGUGGCCCUAGCGCAGUCACAUCCGCUUCGAUUCCCAUAAUCGCUGUCUCGUCUACGUUACGGUAAGUUUUUGUUCAAAAGCAACGUGUGAUAUAUAACAUACCAUGGAAGUUUUUACAUAUUUGAAAGUAAACGACGAGCAUUGGUUGGUUUUCGCUUCUUCGAGGCCUUCAGUGGGCAUGCAUGGAGUGCUGUUUUUUUUUUUUUUUGAGGGUGGGGGGGGGGGGGUGCAGCGGUACGAACUACAAGACGAAUCGUCGCAAGAUUUCAGUGCCAUAUUUAUUGAUAAAGAAAAAGUAGUGAAUAGAGAAGUUAAGGGCAGAAAGAAGCUGUAACCAGCCUUCGUUUCAAGAAAAGAGGGACACUUCAAGACAAGGAGAGGACCAUCGCUUGUUCUCUCUUUUUCCACGUGUUUAUUUUGUGUGUGCGCUGCUCAAGAAUGUAUAGGUUUCCAGUCGCCCGCUUUUCAAUCCUCCUGCAGGAUAUUUUUAUACAUUGUAAGUAGUUCACAUAAAAACUGGGUCAGCAUGCGGCUCACGUAAUCUACAAACUUACUACCAAACGUUUUAGACUGAUUGUUUGUAUGCGUGCUGGUAGUGUUGCCCCGAGCUAUUGCGUGUCUUGCGGGCAAAUAUGAAUACAUGGCACUCUAUAUUCUGUCUUUUUCUAGACUCCAGCCAGAUGUCAGUUCACCCUGCUUUCCCGUUGCCUGGACCAUCUGGCCUUGAUGCAGACGGCAGUGUAGAGGUGCGUUUGACAUCGCCGGAAGCAUUGGGCCGGGAAAGACAUCACGAAAGGCUACGCAAGCGCAGCCAAACAUUCACGAAAAGAGCGGCUUUUACAGAACAGUACGCAAGUUAUAUGGAUGCUGUCACAUUCGUGCGAACUGUUUUCACUACGACGAGUUUCAUACGCUGAG